rnacentral:tRNA from 1 species
UCUACUGCGGUUGGAACGGUGGACUGUUAAUCCAUAUGUCGCAAGUUCGAGUCUUGCCCGGGGAGCCA